CCCGAACACAUCUACCAAGUUCACACUUCACAACAAGUUUGUCUAAUUUGUUGCCAUGCCACAAUUUUCAAACAUGUCAAUUUUCUAAACUUUACUCAAUAUAGCCACACAUAUAGCUUAUUUUCCAAAUUAUCAUAUAGCUUCCUAUAUACCUUAUAUUUCAAAUUAUUAUACUCUAUCACAAUAAUAACUCUCCUUAUCAAAUACAAACAAGAAAAAGCAUAUAUUAUGUUAUUUAUAGAAAUACAAACAAUAAUUUCUCAUAACUACUUCCAUCAUCCACAAACAAAAGAAUCAAAUUAA